AGUGAACGCUGGCGGUAGGCCUAACACAUGCAAGUCGAACGGCAGCACAGUAAGAGCUUGCUCUUACGGGUGGCGAGUGGCGGACGGGUGAGGAAUACAUCGGAAUCUACUUUUUCGUGGGGGAUAACGUAGGGAAACUUACGCUAAUACCGCAUACGACCUACGGGUGAAAGCAGGGGAUCUUCGGACCUUGCGCGAUUGAAUGAGCCGAUGUCGGAUUAGCUAGUUGGCGGGGUAAAGGCCCACCAAGGCGACGAUCCGUAGCUGGUCUGAGAGGAUGAUCAGCCACACUGGAACUGAGACACGGUCCAGACUCCUACGGGAGGCAGCAGUGGGGAAUAUUGGACAAUGGGCGCAAGCCUGAUCCAGCCAUACCGCGUGGGGGAAGAAGGCCUUCGGGUUGUAAAGCCCUUUUGUUGGGAAAGAAAAGCAGCAGGUUAAUACCCCGCUGUUCUGACGGUACCCAAAGAAUAAGCACCGGCUAACUUCGU
rnacentral:rRNA from 1 species